AUUGAACGCUGGCGGCAGGCUUAACACAUGCAAGUCGAGCGAGCGGCGGACGGGAGAGUAGUGUCUGGGAAAGUGCCUGAUGGAGGGGGAUAACUACUGAAAACGGUAGAUAAUACCGCAUACCCUCGUAUGUGCCCAUAUGGGAUGGACUAGUAGGUGGGGUAAAGGCUCACAUAGGCGACGAUCCCUAGCUGGUCUGAGAGGAGGACCAGCAACACUGGAACUGAGACACGGUCAAUACUCCUACGGGAGGAAGCAGUGGGGAAUAUUGCACAAUGGGAGCAAGCCUGAUGCAGCCAUGCCGCGUGUAUGAAGAAGGCCUUAGGGUUGUAAAGUACUUUCAGCGGGGAGGCGUUACCCGCAGAAGAAGCACCGGCUAACUCCGUGCCAGCAGCCGCGGUAAUUC
rnacentral:rRNA from 1 species